UACGAAGGGUGCAAACGUUGCUCGGAAUUAUUGGGCGUAAAGAGCGCGUAGGCGGUCCGAUAAGUCGGCUGUGAAAGUCAGGGGCUCAACCCUUGAAAGCCGGCCGAUACUGUCGGACUAGAGUCCGGAAGAGGCAAGUGGAAUUCCCAGUGUAGAGGUGAAAUUCGUAGAUAUUGGGAAGAACACCAGUGGCGAAGGCGGCUAACUGGUCCGGUACUGACGCUGAGGUGCGAAAGCGUGGGGAGCAAACAGG
rnacentral:rRNA from 1 species